UGAUACCAGGGUCAAAAGGUCUGAACCCACAUGAGCUUGCUCAUAAGUGUGUGAAUGACCUUGGAACCCGCCCCCCCAAUAUGAGCAUAAAAGUGGGAUGAUAGUCCCACGAUAUGCGAAUAUUGGGUAGGUGCUAUGUGCCAGUGGCACAUGUUUAGCACGGACCGAAGCGGAGCGUAGAUGUGGGAGUGCGUAGCACGGAACAAUCCGUAGGUAUCU
rnacentral:sRNA from 1 species